GACGUAGGGCGCGAGCGUUGUCCGGAUUUAUUGGGCGUAAAGAGCGUGUAGGCGGUUAGGUAGGUCCGUUGUGAAAACUCGAGGCUCAACCUCGAGACGCCGAUGGAAACCAUCUGACUAGAGUCCGGAAGAGGAGAGUGGAAUUCCCGGUGUAGCGGUAAUAUGCGUAGAUAUCGGGAGGAACACCAGUGGCGAAGGCGGCUGUCUGGGGGUAUUGCUGACGCUGAGGCACGAAAGCCAGGGGAGCGAACGGG
rnacentral:rRNA from 1 species